CGCAGCCGCGGUAAUUCCAGCUCCAAUAGCGUAUAUUAAAGUUGUUGCAGUUAAAAAGCUCGUAGUUGAAUUUCGGGGUUAGUAGGUUGGUCAUGCCUCUGGUAUGUACUGGUCUCACUGAUUCCUCCUUCCUGAUGAACUGUAAUGCCAUUAAUUUGGUGUUGCAGGGAAACUGGACUGUUACUUUGAAAAAAUUAGAGUGUUUAAAGCAAGCUAACGCUUGAAUACAUUAGCAUGGAAUAAUGAAAUAGGACGUUCGAUCCUAUUUUGUUGGUUUCUAGGAUUGACGUAAUGAUUAAUAGGGAUAGUUGGGGGCAUUAGUAUUCAAUUGUCAGAGGUGAAAUUCUUGGAUUUAUUGAAGACUAACUACUGCGAAAGCAUUUUGCCAAGGAUGUUUUCAUUAAUCAAGAACGAAAGUUAGGGGAUCGAAGACGAUCAGAUACCGUCGUAGUCUUAACCAUAAACUAUGCCGACUAGGGAUCGGAUGAUGUUAAUUUUUUAAUGACUCAUUCGGCGCCUU
rnacentral:rRNA from 1 species